rnacentral:rRNA from 1 species
AACGAACGCUGGCGGCAUGCCUAACACAUGCAAGUCGAACGAGACCUUCGGGUCUAGUGGCGCACGGGUGCGUAACGCGUGGGAACCUGCCCUUAGGUUCGGAAUAACUCCCCGAAAGGGGUGCUAAUACCGGAUAAUGUCUUCGUACCAAAGAUUUAUCGCCUUUGGAUGGGCCCGCGUUGGAUUAGCUAGUUGGUAGGGUAGAGGCCUACCAAGGCGACGAUCCAUAGCUGGUCUGCGAGGGUGAUCGGCCACACUGGGACUGAGACACGGCCCAGACCCCUACGGGCGGCGGGAGGGGGGAGUGGUGAAAAAUGGACAGAGGGCAGAGGCAGCAACGCCGAGGGCGGGAUGACGGAGUAGGGGUUGUGGGUCGCAAACAGCAUGUGCGAGGCUUGUGAUGACGGUACCUGGAGAAGAAGCACCGGCUAACUACGUG